GAGUUUGAUCCUGGCUCAGGACGAACGCUGGCGGCGCGCCUAACACAUGCAAGUCGAACGAGAGAGAGGGAGCUUGCUUCCUCAAUCGAGUGGCGAACGGGUGAGUAACGCGUGAGUAACCUGCCCUAGAGUGGGGGACAACAGUUGGAAACGACUGCUAAUACCGCAUAAGCCCACGAUCCGGCAUCGGAUUGAGGGAAAAGGAUUUAUUCGCUUCAGGAUGGACUCGCGUCCAAUUAGCUAGUUGGUGAGGUAACGGCCCACCAAGGCGACGAUUGGUAGCCGGACUGAGAGGUCGAACGGCCACAUUGGGACUGAGACACGGCCCAGACUCCUACGGGAGGCAGCAGUGGGGAAUAUUGCACAAUGGGGGAAACCCUGAUGCAGCGACGCCGCGUGGAGGAAGAAGGUUUUCGGAUUGUAAACUCCUGUCGUUAGGGACGAUAAUGACGGUACCUAACAAGAAAGCACCGGCUAACUACGUGCCAGCCGCCGCGGUAAUAC
rnacentral:rRNA from 1 species